UACGAAGGGGGCUAGCGUUGCUCGGAAUCACUGGGCGUAAAGCGCACGUAGGCGGAUUGCUAAGUCAGGGGUGAAAUCCUGGAGCUCAACUCCAGAACUGCCUUUGAUACUGGCGAUCUUGAGUCCGGGAGAGGUGAGUGGAACUGCGAGUGUAGAGGUGAAAUUCGUAGAUAUUCGCAAGAACACCAGUGGCGAAGGCGGCUCACUGGCCCGAUACUGACGCUGAGGCACGAAAGCGUGAGGAGCAAACAGG
rnacentral:rRNA from 1 species